GAAUUCGCCCUUAGAGUUUGAUCCUGGCUCAGGACGAACGCUGGCGGCGUGCCUAACACAUGCAAGUCGAACGGGGUUACACGAGGUGCUUGCACCAUGUGGAACCUAGUGGCGGACGGGUGAGUAACGCGUGAGCAACCUGCCUUUCAGAGGGGGAUAACAACGGGAAACCGUUGCUAAUACCGCAUGAUACCGGAUGAUGGCAUCAUUGACCGGUCAAAGGAGCAAUCCGCUGAAAGAUGGGCUCGCGUCCCAUUAGGUAGUUGGUGGGGUAAAGGCCUACCAAGCCGACGAUGGGUAGCCGGACUGAGAGGUUGAUCGGCCACAUUGGAACUGAGACACGGUCCAAACUCCUACGGGAGGCAGCAGUGGGGAAUAUUGCACAAUGGGGGAAACCCUGAUGCAGCGACGCCGCGUGAGGGAAGACGGUUUUCGGAUUGUAAACCUCUGUCUUUAGGGACGAAAAAAUGACGGUACCUAAGGAGGAAGCCACGGCUAACUACGUGCCAGCAGCCGCGGUAAUACGUAGGUGGCAAGCGUUGUCCGGAAUUACUGGGUGUAAAGGGAGCGUAGGCGGGGAGACAAGUUGAAUGUCUAAACUAUCGGCUUAACUGAUAGUCGCGUUCAAAACUAUCACUCUUGAGUGCAGUAGAGGUAGGCGGAAUUCCUAGUGUAGCGGUGACAUGCGUAGAUAUUAGGAGGAACACCAGUGGCGAAGGCGGCCUACUGGGCUGUAACUGACGCUGAGGCUCGAAAGCGUGGGUAGCAAACAGGAUUAGAUACCCUGGUAGUCCACGCCGUAAACGAUGAUUACUAGGUGUGGGGGGACUGACCCCUUCCGUGCCGGAGUUAACACAAUAAGUAAUCCACCUGGGGAGUACGUUCGCAAGAAUGAAACUCAAAGGAAUUGACGGGGGCCCGCACAAGCGGUGGAGCAUGUGGUUUAAUUCGAAGCAACGCGAAGAACCUUACCAGGUCUUGACAUCGAUCUAAAGGCUCCAGAGAUGGAGAGAUAGCUAUAGAGAAGACAGGUGGUGCAUGGUUGUCGUCAGCUCGUGUCGUGAGAUGUUGGGUUAAGUCCCGCAACGAGCGCAACCCCUGUUGCCAGUUGCCAGCAUUAAGUUGGGGACUCUGGCGAGACUGCCGGUGACAAGCCGGAGGAAGGCGGGGAUGACGUCAAAUCAUCAUGCCCCUUAUGACCUGGGCUACACACGUGCUACAAUGGACAGAGCAGAGGGAAGCGAAGCCGCGAGGUGGAGCGAAACCCAGAAAACUGUUCUCAGUUCGGACUGCAGUCUGCAACUCGACUGCACGAAGUUGGAAUCGCUAGUAAUCGCGAAUCAGCAUGUCGCGGUGAAUACGUUCUCGGGCCUUGCACACACCGCCCGUCA
rnacentral:rRNA from 1 species